rnacentral:rRNA from 1 species
UGGGGAAUAUUGGACAAUGGGCGAAAGCCUGAUCCAGCAAUGCCGCGUGAGUGAUGAAGGCCUUAGGGUUGUAAAGCUCUUUUACCCGGGAUGAUAAUGACAGUACCGGGAGAAUAAGCUCCGGCUAACUCCGUGCCAGCAGCCGCGGUAAUACGGAGGGAGCUAGCGUUAUUCGGAAUUACUGGGCGUAAAGCGCACGUAGGCGGCUUUGUAAGUUAGAGGUGAAAGCCUGGAGCUCAACUCCAGAAUUGCCUUUAAGACUGCAUCGCUUGAAUCCAGGAGAGGUGAGUGGAAUUCCGAGUGUAGAGGUGAAAUUCGUAGAUAUUCGGAAGAACACCAGUGGCGAAGGCGGCUCACUGGACUGGUAUUGACGCUGAGGUGCGAAAGCGUGGGGAGCAAACAGGAUUAGAUACCUGGUAGUCCACGCCGUAAACGAUGAUAACUAGCUGUCGGGGCUCUUAGAGCUUCGGUGG